UGCACCUGACAGGACUGUUUAGGUUUUCGGUCAGUCUCUGUGUUAUUUAGUGGUCAGCUGUAAUAAAAGUAUGAACACUUCCCGCGCUGCCCUUUGGUCCACACCUUCUUCAACAGACGAUCGUUACACUCACAGGGGAAAAUGUACAGGAUGACCUCAAUAGGAUUGGGAAUCAGUUCAGCCAGGAAUCAGUUAAAAGAUGUCCAGGACUGAUGUUCGACCUCCGACGAGCAAAGCCUUGCAGCACACAGCCACGACCAGCCGUUCCUGGGGUGCCGGACUGGUGUGUGUUCACACUGCAGGGAGAUGACCACCACCAGCAAUGCAGAGAGGAAGUGUUGCAGCCAGGAACCACACCAAUGUGUCAGCCAGAUGGCUCACUUAAAUUGGUUGGUUCUCUACAAAACCGUACUAAACAUGGACUACUGAUGAGGAGGGAGCUGCUAAAGCUGCCUUACCCACUGGAUGACGAAGAUGAAAACAUCAGGUUGUUUUGCCAUAAAGCCUACUAGCAGUACCUCACGUGGAGGUCCGGAAACCUGGACGGUGGCGAUGGGGGCAUCAUGCCCAGCUGUUGUGUCAGGAGAAUCAGAGACCCCUACCCUGAUCCUGAAGAGAAAUACUUUGGGUUACAGACACCUCACUUUAUAGCUUCAUCUCAGAUAUACCUGUGCUUUGUUCUCUUGUACAUGUUCUGAAAUUACACAUAGUGUAGCUGCUUUAAAAAAAGGACAGGAGGAUGGAUAAUGUUUCACUUUGACAAUUGUCCAUUCAAUCCCCUUUGUUUUCCUUAAGGUAUUUUGUCACGUAUCUGGCUUGUUAUUUUCCAAUGUGCCAUAAUGACAGAGAAACCAUGACUCUGGAACUUUGUGUAUAUUAUAUAUA